rnacentral:lncRNA from 1 species
GGAUGGAGUUCCAAGAUCAACAGCAGAGCGUGUUGCGUGUGUCCAGGCGGUGACGGGUGGAGACGGGAAGAUGGGGGCCAAGGGGGGCCCGGGAACCUCGGCACAGACAACAGCCUCUCCCUGGGCUCUCUCCUCCUGAAUUCUGCAGGAUCCGUGAGGAGUGAGGCUAGAGCAGGGCUCCCAACACCAUACCCAACUGGGCUGCCGCACACGCGGAAGAGUCAGGAAUCGGUAGCCUCCCGGGUGGACACUGCUCUCCCCACAGCAGCCCCAUCUCCCUUCCCCGAGUCUGGUGAACCCAAAUAGGUUUCAGAGCCACCAGCUGUGCCCGUAACUGGAACAGAGUGGAGACCAGUUAACCCGUGGAAGUCAGGAUCGGCGCCGACAUUCACUCGAGACAGAAGGUGAAGAAAAAUCAUCUUCAAAGCAAGAGAAGCAAAAAUAUGCAGAGCCAAAUACUGCAAGGGCCAAUAAUCCAACAGCUUCCUCUGUGAAGUUAAAAUUUCCACCCAGGGGAGCUACUGCAUAUCUAAUCUCCAAGUUCCUAUUAAAGUCUGAGAGGGAGGAAGAGGAAGGAAGAAGAGAGCUAAGGCAACACCGAGAAGGAAGAAAAACACACGGAGGACCGGGCCUUCCAAGCUGGGCUGAGCCUCUGGUUUCUGGAAAGAGCUCCGUACUCCCUAGGCGGUGUUACAGGAGACGGGGUGAGUUGAGUGGCCCUGGCUUUGUUUUUAUAUCAUAAAAUCUCAUCUUCAUAAGCUGUAAAAUCUCAGAAUUAAAACGGAAUCUGUCUCAAACGCACUUGAGCUUUUGUAGUGCUUUUUAGUUUUGCUUGCCAUUUUAUGAAAACAUCUCCAUGAAAGGUUGAAACAAAGCCAUGUAAAGCAGCAGGGAGAUUGGGCCCUCAAGGAGAGGCCAUCCGAAGAGCCCCAGGGCCGGAUGUGUCUGUCCAUGGCCUGUGGCCCACUUCCUCUCUGACCACCUUUAUCCCC